rnacentral:lncRNA from 1 species
UUACCAGGUUCUAAGGCAGCUACAGCAGAAGCAUCUUAGUCCUCUUUGUGUCUCUGCAGUCUGGCAUAGUGUCUGACUAUAUAGUAGAUACUCAGUAAGUGUUUAGCCAGUGAAAAACUUGAUGACCACCUCAGUUGCUACAAGUCAACUACUACAAGAUCCGCAGAUCCCUCGGGGACUAAGGUCUAUGUUUCCUGACUGCUGUUGA